rnacentral:rRNA from 1 species
UCCAGACUCCUACGGGAGGCAGCAGUGGGGAAUAUUGCACAAUGGGGGGAACCCUGAUGCAGCGACGCCGCGUGGGUGAAGGAGCACCUCGGUGCGUAAAGCCCUAUCGGCAGGGAAGAAAAGCGAACAGGUUCGCCUGGACGGUACCUGACUAAGAAGCCCCGGCUAACUACGUGCCAGCAGCCGCGGUAAUACGUAGGGGGCAAGCGUUAUCCGGAUUCACUGGGUGUAAAGGGAGCGUAGACGGCGACGCAAGUCUGGAGUGAAAGCCCGGGGCCCAACCCCGGGACUGCUCUUGGAACUGCAUGGCUGGAGUACAGGAGGGGCAGGCGGAAUUCCUAGUGUAGCGGUGAAAUGCGUAGAUAUUAGGAGGAACACCAGUGGCGAAGGCGGCUUGCUGGACUGUAACUGACGUUGAGGCUCGAAAGCGUGGGGAGCAAACAGGAUUAGAUACCCGAGUAUA